UAUUGAUCGCCCGAUACUCGUCGCAUUUCACGAACACUGGCGGUCUGAUCUACCGCAAGGAGUGUUCUUUUCCGAAAAAGUGGUUGAAUGGUGACAACCCGUGAGCCCUAGAGGGGUUAUAUGCACUAGAGAGUAGUAGUGGCACUGGCUUGAGGUCUGCGGUGCUGACCAAGAGAGCAUUGGUUUCAGAUUGGGUACUUUUGGACUUCUUGACCGGUUGACGCAUAUGUCUAUAGUAGCAGUCAUUGCAUGCAUACUUACAGUUCUUACUUUAUAGUUGUCUUGCUGCUAUAGUAGAUAUUCAUGUAUGCUUUCGGUUCCAGUUACAGUAGCGGUAGCCGUUAUUCAGUCUAGUUCUUACUUUCUUUCAGUUUGUUGCUACUGUAUUUAGUAUAUCUGCUCAUUACCUUAUACAUCUCUUUUGUUUACUAUUGUUCCUAUUGUAUUUCCACUGACCCGUGUUGUUGUAUAGCUCUUCCUGAUCCGGUGAGUACUCCUCGCCUUCUUCGGCUUGCGGUACCCACUGGGAGGGGAGACAUGUUUACAUGUUCUCACCUCCCCCACCAUUUUUCAGGUAUCGCGGGCGGUGAGGGUUGAGACGAGACGUGAGAUACGUAGCGGUCGAUAGAGCUUCCGAUCCAGGUUAUUUCGGUUUAGUUAUUACCCCUAUUAUUUCAGUUGUUAUAGCUUAGAUAGUUUAUAUGGUUCAGUAUUUUUUUUUAAUUACAUUUGAAAAUAUGGGUUUUCAUGAAUAUAAUAAACUGGUUUGUGAAUUUUGUAAAAUAAAAGGUUUUCUACCCCUCGUGGUAGCGUUUUAAAGAAAGAUAAAAGUUCCUGUGGAGGAACAGUUUUCAAAAGGUUUUCUAUGGAUUUUGCAUCUUAGUAUUUCAAAAGUUAUUUCUGUGGUUGGAAACAUUUUAACUGAUAGAUGUGGAUUUAUGUUUAAAUAUUGAAUGCAAAAAUGUGAACCUGUGGUGAAUGGUGUAUGAAUAUAUAACUGUGGUUAUUUGUAUGUUCAUCUGGUUGUGGUUGUAUCAUGUUUGAACUCUUGUACUUGUGUGACGCCGUGCAAAUACAGGGGAGACUCUGUCCGUGUGAACAGUGGAUCUCCUGUAUUUGUGGCGGAUCUUGCAUA
rnacentral:lncRNA from 1 species